rnacentral:rRNA from 1 species
UACGUAGGGUGCAAGCGUUAAUCGGAAUUACUGGGCGUAAAGCGUGCGCAGGCGGCUUUGCAAGACAGAUGUGAAAUCACCGGGCUUAACCUGGGAACUGCAUUUGUGACUGCAUGGCUGGAGUGCGGCAGAGGGGGAUGGAAUUCCGCGUGUAGCAGUGAAAUGCGUAGAUAUGCGGAGGAACACCGAUGGCGAAGGCAGUCCCCUGGGCCUGCACUGACGCUCAUGCACGAAAGCGUGGGGAGCAAACAGG